UACGAAGGGGGCUAGCGUUGCUCGGAAUCACUGGGCGUAAAGCGCACGUAGGCGGCUUUCUAAGUCAGGUGUGAAAUCCUGGAGCUCAACUCCAGAACUGCCUUUGAUACUGGAGAGCUUGAGUCCGGGAGAGGUGAGUGGAACUCCGAGUGUAGAGGUGAAAUUCGUAGAUAUUCGGAAGAACACCAGUGGCGAAGGCGGCGCACUGGCCCGGUACUGACGCUGAUGUGCGAAAGCGUGGGGAGCAAACAGG
rnacentral:rRNA from 1 species